CGCAACGACUGGACAAAUGGACAAAUUGGCCACUCAUGCAUUAGUGUUCAUGUUAGAUGGUUUAUCAAGUCGUUGGAAACAAACUGUUGUUUAUCACAUUACAUCCAAUUCUUUCUGUCCUAACACAAUAAAAGAAUUUUUGUUCGAUUUGAUAAAAUUGUGUGAAUCCAGUCUCUGUAUUAAUGUUGUGAUUAUAGAUAGUGAUGGAAGGACAAAAUCAAGCGCUACUCAGAAAUUGUGGAAUAAUUUCUGGACAAUAUUUAUUAUCAAGAAAAAUAACACGAGUCCUCUGUGAAAAUCUGAAAGAAUUUAGCCUUGAGUGCGAUCAACUGCAAUUCCUAUGGAACUGAAAAAAUGAAUAUUCUUAUUUAUAUAUUUCAUUACAUGGAAUUAGUUUAUUUGUUGGACAAAAUUUUUUACCUGCAUGAACCAAACAUCAGCUUUGCAUUCUGUGGUGAAUGCAUUGAACAACCAUAUGCCGCAGUGGAUUAAAUUUGCUAUCCAAAGAGAAGAAAUAGAAAAAAUAAAACGGCAGUAUGUUAAAAAAUAUUUUGGGACAAUACCAAAUUUCCUGGCUCAUUGGUACAAUAGAUGGUACACAUAUAGUGUU